rnacentral:lncRNA from 1 species
UGCCUGCGGCGGCCCUCAGUGCUCACGUGAACCAGGAGCGAGGGGCAGGCCCCGUGCUGGGAGCACCACCCCGGAGGGUCCACAGGGCAGAGGCGCGGCGGGUAGCGUCGGAAGCAGCACGAGCAGAGCAGCUGGAACUGGCCACCAAACUCCGCGUAGAUGGCAUCAGCCGGGCUGCGCAGCUCGCCCUGGGCCCCGCCGCCCUGCACCGCGGCCUUCAGCCACAGCCGGGAGAGGUUGUGCUCACGCUCGAAGUUCCAGACCAGCGCCUCCUCAGGGCUCCGGGCGAAGGUACACUGGUUGUAGUGGCGCCGGCACCCGACCCCAGGCCUGUAGUAGCGGCAAACUUCAUAGCGCAAGGGCUGCGGGAAGCUGGGCCGCCGGUCCACCUUGCGCCAGACCCUGCGCUUGCAGGAUCUGGCGGGGGCAGCUGUGCUCCACCGCGCGCAGCAGGUAUGUGCUCUCGUUGAGGCGCUGGGUGCAGCGGGAGCAGCCCAGAUGCAGGUCCACCUGGGCGCACAGCCUGGCCAGAGGCGGCUCCUUGGCGGCCGUGGGGCUAGUGGGCGACGGGCCGAACCCGGGGAACACCAUCUCUGACACUGGCCUGUCUCUGCGGAGCGGCAUCUGAGGCUCAGGGGCUCAGCUGGCCCUCUGGGGCUGUUCACCCACAAUGAGAAGGCUGGGACAGAAGAGCAAGGAGCAAGGUCAGGCCCUGAGGCUGCAGGGCCUCUCGCACCCAGGUCGGAGCUCAAACACACCCUGCCUCUCCUCGGGCAAGGGGCCGAGGAAGCAGAAACAGUAAGGAGAAUUCUUCCCACACGAUGGGAGGAGAGGGUCGUUUGCUCCAAAGAGGCUGGGCCCCCUCAACCUUGACCCAGCUGAGUCUCCUCCCUUUCUGAAGUCUCUGGGCCCUGCCCAAAAGGAGCCAGCCCAGCAGCGAGUGGGAGGGGAGUGCCCCAGCAACAAGAACCCUGGGGACCGGCAGAAGCCCUGGGGGCCCGUGAACUUCCUGACCCUCCAGCCUUCUUCCUGGGGCCUGGCGUCCUAGGGCGCCUCAAGCUCCUGGUCUCCUGACUCUUCUACAGAGACAGCACCCCUGUUCUGGGAAGGACGGUUGGCCCCUGGGAGCAGUGCCCCCACAGCUGCCUGGCCCGGGGGACUGGUUUCCUCCCCAUUGGGGUGGUGCAGGAUCUGGCGGGGGCAGUGCUCCACCACGGGCAGGAGAUAGGUGCUCUCCGCCAGGCGCUGGGUGCAGCGGGAGCAGCCCAGAUGCAGGUCCACCUGGGCGCACAGCCUGGCCAGAGGCGGCUCCUUGGCGGCCGUGGGGCUAGCAGUCAACGGGCCGGACCCAGGGGACACCAUCUCUGACACUGGCCUGUCUCUUGCUGGGGCACCCCCCUCCCACUCGCUGCUGGGCUGGCUCCUUUUGGGCAGGGCCCAGAGACUCUUCAGAAA